rnacentral:rRNA from 1 species
GAUGAACGCUGGCGGCGUGCUUAAUACAUGCAAGUCGAGGGGCAGCAGGACUGUAGCAAUACAGUUGCUGGCGACCGGCAAACGGGUGCGGAACACGUACGCAACCUUCCCUUAAGUGGGGAAUAGCCCAGGGAAACUUGGAUUAAUACCUCGUAACAUUGUGAGAUGGCAUCAUUUUAUAAUUAUAGCUCCGGCGCUUAAAGAUGGGCGUGCGACUGAUUAGGUAGUUGGCGGGGUAACGGCCCACCAAGCCUUCGAUCAGUAACUGGUGUGAGAGCACGACCAGGCACACGGGCACUGAGACACGGGCCCGACUCCUACGGGAGGCAGCAGUAAGGAAUAUUGGUCAAUGGACGCAAGUCUGAACCAGCCAUGCCGCGUGGAGGAUGAAGGUCCUCUGGAUUGUAAACUUCUUUUAUCUGGGAAGAAACCCAUAUUUUCUAGUGUGGUUGACGGUACCAGAUGAAUAAGCACCGGCUAACUCCGUGCCAGCCGCCGCCGUAAAAC